rnacentral:lncRNA from 1 species
ACUUUCUGUCCCGCUGUUUUAUGGGGAAGGCGGGGGAAGACACGCAGACAUCAAUUCGACUAAACAAAGUUUAUCAAUAAUAUUAAAAAUAAAAAGUAAAGCCCCUUUCUGAACAUUAUGGCUUAUUCCUUGAUUAUCCUUCUUAAUGCCACAGCGUGGCUAUCUCAGAACAAAAUUAGAGACUAACAGUAAAUUUACUUUAAUUUUUACGAAUAAUUCUCUAUCAAUGUAAAAAUUUUUCAUAUACGCGUGUAUGAAAGAAAAACACUACUAUUUUUCCACAUUCGUGAAAACUGCUUAACUGGGACAGUAACCGAGCGGCCAGUGAAUAUUUAAAAUACUGUAACCGACGAAUACGUAUGCUUCUAGGACCACGUGGAAUCUUUCCCAUGGUAGAGACAGGAUUUCACCAUGUUGCCCAGGCUGGUCUCAAAACUUCUGAAUUCAAGCAGUCCGCCCGCCUCUGCCUCCCAAACUGUUGAGAUUACAGGCGUGAGCCACCGCACCCAGCCUCAAGAAUGUCUUAAAUAAUGUAUGUACUAUUUUAUCAGUUUACACCCUCACUAGCAUUGAUGAGUUCUCUUUGUUCCACAUUCUCUCCAACACAAGAUAUGGUCAGACUCUUACCAUUUUUACCGCUGUGAAAAUUGCAAUUUACAUUUCCCUAACAAAGUGGUGCAUUCUUCCAUACUUAUGAAACCUUAUUUCCUCUUCUGUGAACUGUCCACUCUUACCUUUUAUAAAGUUUGCUAUGGAGUUUUCUUUCACAAAUGAUGUGUACGUCAUUAGAUAGCCUGCUCUAUUCAUUCACCUGUAUAAAGUAAAACUAAACUCCUAAGUCCGCCACCAACAGAAUAGGCCCCCUUGUGGCCAAGGGGAUCCUAGAAAACCUUAAAACUGAGUUCUAGACCACGAUGGGACAGGUUAGACACACCUUGUUAUACUCCCUCCCUUUUGUAGUUUAACACAACAACUGGCCAGCAUUAAUGUUAAAACAGAGAUGAUAAGACUGACAGAACAGACUCUGGCAAUAAGAUGCCAAAUUAUAAAAAAGACCUAAAGCCAUUCCAGGCAAGGUUUUAGUCCCACACCCCUAUACUUAAAGAAUAAACUGUGUUCUAACUGCCACAAGAUUCUUCUCUAGCAGCUAAACAAGUACUGGCCUAAAGAUAAACAAUAUUAAAAUAAUGUGCAGCUCCACGAGAUGCUGACUUACUGACCCCCAGUCCCCGUUCCACCAGCCAUAGCUACAGCUUUCAUUGGACAACUUUUUGUUGAUUUCAGUAACUUUCUCCAGGUAAGAAGACCACUGGCCAUGGACUGGUUCUGGCUGGUCUACAGAGGUCGCACAUUUGCAUGGCUUCAUGUCCUGAAAGACCUUUUGACGUAUAGGGCUCGUAAUACAUUUAAAUGUUAAGUCUUGGCUGGGUGUGGUGGCUCACGCCUGUAAUCCCAGCACUUUGGGAGGCCCAGGUGGGAAGAUCACGAGGUCAGGAGCUUGAGACCAGCCUGGCCAACAUGGGGAAACCCCAUCUCUACUAAAAAUACGAAAAUUAGCCAGGCGUGGGGGCAGGUUCCUGUAAUCCCAGCUACUCAGGAGGCUGAGGCAGGAGUAUCGCUUGAAACCGGGAAGUGGAGGUUACAGUGAGCUGAGAUCACAUCGUUGCAGUCCAGCCUGGGUGACAGAGCAAGACUCCGUCUGAACAACAACAACAAAAAAGUUAAGUCUCCAUCCCAAAGUGAAUAUGGGUCAUAUGUUACAUGAGUUUUUGUUCAAUACGCAUGUGUCAGGACCACUUUCAUGAAUAUUCAUAGCUCUUCCUGUAACCUGGUGAAAAUGUAGGUUUAGCCAACCUGUUCAGCCUGAACUACACUCCAAGCCCUCCUCCUUCAAAGCGCCUGUUUCUGGAGGCACGCUUCCCAGCCUGCAGGAUGGCCACCUUGCAGGCCAUAAAGUCUCCCCUUCUUUUCUAAAUUUAUUCAUUGUGGGGCUUUUUAAUAUAUACAUUUUUAAAAGAGAGAGAGAGACAGAGUCUCGCUUUGUUGCCCGGGCUGGUCUCAAACUCCUAGGCUCAAGCUAUCCUUCUGCCUCAGCCUCCCAAAGUGCUGGGAUUACAGGCAUGAGCCACCGCACCCAGCCCAUUGUUGGGCUUUUUUAAGUUAACGCUUGGUAUAUGUUAUAAAUACCUUCUCCCAGGUUGACACUUGUCGUCUUUGUUUACGGUGAUUUGUUCUCUAGAUUUUAAUUUCAAUGUAGUCAAAUUUAUCAAUCUGUUGUUAUGAUAGCUGACUUGUAGCUUUCUUAAGAAAUCCUUCCCUCUCCUGAGGUCACUAAGAUUUUCAUUUUCAUUUUCAUAGUUUUAUAGUUUUGUUUUUCACAUCUUUUUUUUUCUAUUUGGCUAUUAUUGGGGUAUAGCAACACUGUGGAUUUUUGUACAGCAAUCUUGUACCAAAAACCUUGUUGAAUUCUGUUAUUCUAGUAUUUUGUCUGUGCCAGGAACAGUGGUACACACCUGUAAUCCCAGCUUCUUGAGAGGCUGAGGCAGGAGGAUUGCUUGAACCCAGGUGUUCAAGGCUAGCCUGGGCAAUAUAGCAAGAUUCUGUCUCUAAAAAAAAAAAUCAUAUUAUGGUAGAUGGAAACUAGUAUGUGAUAAAAUAAAAAUGACUUUAAAAAAAUUUGUCUAAAGUUCUUUAGGAUUUUUUAUUUAGCAGAACAUUAUGCAAACACCAACCUUUUAAAUUCUAUUUUAUUUAAUGUUUUAAUUUGUAAAAUAAACUUAGUAUGAAAAUUUUCAAACAAAUACAAGAGAUGAUAUAAUAAAUCCCUGUGUUCCUAUCAUCCAGCUUCAGCUUAAACAAUUUGCCAUUCUUGUUUUAUCUAUCCUACCUCUCCUCUCCACAACUUUUUUCAUUUUGUUCUGUGUUUUUCCCAGAAUUUUUUUUUUUUUUUGAGACGGAGUCUCUCUCUGUCACCCAGGCUGGAGUGCAAUGGCGUGAGCUCGGCUCACUGCAACUUCUGCCUCCCACAAUCAAGCGAUUCUCCUGCCUCAGCCUCCCAAGUAGCUGGAAUUACAGGUGCCUGCCACCAUGCCCAGCUAAUUUUUGUAUUUUUAGUAGAGAUAGGGUUUCACCAAGCUGGCCAGGCUAGUCUUGAACUCCUGACCUAAGGUGAUCCACCUGCCUCGGCCUCCCAAAGUGCUGGGAUUACAGGCGUGAGCCACCUUGCCCAGCCUUCCUGGAGUAUUUUAAAGCAUAUCUAGAUAUAUUAUUUCACCCAUAAAUACUUCAAUGUAUAUCUCUAAGAGACAAGGCCUUUUUUUUUUUUUUGAGAUGGAGUCUUGCUCUGUCGCCAGGCUGGAGUGCAGUGGCGUGAUCACUGCAACCUCUGCCUCCUGGGUUCAAGCGAUUCUUCUGCCUCAGCCUCCCGAGUAGCUGGGACUACAGGCGCGCGCCACCACGCCCAGCUACUUUUUGUAUUUUUUUAGUAGAGAUGGGGUUUCACCAUGUUGGCCAGGAUGGUCUCGAUCUCUUGACCUUGUGAUCCAUCCGUUUCAGCCUCCCAAAAUGCUGGGAUUACAGGCAUGAGCCACUGCACCUAGCCUGCCUUUUCUUAUUUUUAAAAAACAUACUGAUAAUCCCAUUAUCAUACCCAACAAAAUUAAUAAUUCCUUAAUAUCAUCUGAUACCUGUUCCAUGUUCAGUUUUCUGUCUCAAAAAUGCCCUUCCUUCCACAGUUAGUUAAAAUCAGGAUCCAACAAGAUUGUCACAUUGCAUUUAGUUCACAUGACAAUUCCCUCUCCAUUUCUUCCCCCCUGCCAUUUGUUGAAGAAUCUAAGUCAUUGGUCCUAUAGAAUUUCCCACUUCAUGAUUCUGCUGAUUACAUCUUCAUGGUGAUGCUUAAUUUGUUCCAGAAACUGCCAGUGACAUCUAGAGGCUUGAUUAGUUUUUGGUUUUUUGUUUGCUUUUGCAAGAAUACUUCAUAGGUACUUCCUUGCAUCAUAGCAGAAGGCAUAUACAUACUGUCCCACUUUUAGAGAUGUCGAGAUUUAUUAGUGAGUUCAGAUUUUUUUCCUACGUCUUAAACUGUUUAGCCCCUUGUUUUACUGCAAUGGUUAGGCCCUCUAAUACGAUACAGAAGGUAGGGGCUAGACAUCUUUUAACUUACUUCUAAAUUUUAAUGUGAAUGUUUGAAAAGUUUUACCACUAAAUAAGAUUUUUUCCCAUAUAUUUUUCACAGCUGCUCUGAUUAAGGAAGCUUCCUUCCACUCUAGUUACCAGGCUUUUCUUUUUAAAUCAUUAAAUGUUGGAUGUUAUGGAAUUCUUUUUCUUGAAUCUACUCAUUCAUUUUCAACUUAAACCCUUGGAAUAGAAAUACAAUUUGAAAAAGAACCUUAUGUCUAGAGACAAUACCACUCUUUGGUCUAGGUAAGAGGAGCCCCUACCCUGGACCGACACUUUAGAAGACUUUACUCUGACCUCUGGCUCUGCCCCACAGGAUAAGAAUCCAUACUGCCAACGUGAUGUGCCCAGCUAGAACAGAUGCCCCCUUCUAGAAGUGCAUCUAACACCCAAAUAGCCCAAAUAGCUCCAAGCCGGCUUCCAGGGCUUGCUCUGGCCUCAUACCUCUUACGAGUGAAAUGGGCUAAUGGUAUACACCAGGGCUGUAGCCAGAUCUUAUACAUAUAGGUGGGGGACCCACAUAUAUAUAUAUGCACCAGGCUCUUCAUGAUGCAGAACAAAUCAAGGGGUGGGGAAAUAAAGGAGGCACCCAGUGGGCGGGGGCCACCUCUCCCUGCAUUGCCAUGCUUUGUCAUGGAAUCUGAUAAAAUCAGAGAAUUCUGAAUUCAAACCUGGUCUGACAGGUCAUUAUGAAGGGAUAUUUGUCAAGAUAAUAGAAUAAAACAUUUUAUUUAACAGAUAGCUU